rnacentral:rRNA from 1 species
CUCAGCGUCAGUUACAGACCAGAGAGUCGCCUUCGCCACUGGUGUUCCUCCACAUAUCUACGCAUUUCACCGCUACACGUGGAAUUCCACUCUCCUCUUCUGCACUCCAGUCUUCCAGUUUCCAAUGUUAGUGGCGGACGGGUGAGUAACACGUGGGCAACCUGCCUGUAAGUUGGGGAUAACUCCGGGAAACCGGGGCUAAUACCGAAUGAUAGAGUGUGGCGCAUGCCACGCUUUUGAAAGAUGGUUUCGGCUAUCGCUUACAGAUGGGCCCGCGGUGCAUUAGCUAGUUGGUAGGGUAAUGGCCUACCAAGGCAACGAUGCAUAGCCGACCUGAGAGGGUGAUCGGCCACACUGGGACUGAGACACGGCCCAGACUCCUACGGGAGGCAGCAGUAGGGAAUCUUCCGCAAUGGACGAAAGUCUGACGGAGCAACGCCGCGUGUAUGAAGAAGGUUUUCGGAUCGUAAAGUACUGUUGUUAGAGAAGAACAAGGAUAAGAGUAACUGCUUGUCCCUUGACGGUAUCUAACCAGAAAGCCACGGCUAACUACGUGCCAGCAGCCGCGGUAAUACGUAGGUGGCAAGCGUUGUCCGGAUUUAUUGGGCGUAAAGCGCGCGCAGGCGGUCUUUUAAGUCUGAUGUGAAAGCCCCCGGCUUAACCGGGGAGGGUCAUUGGAAACUGGAAGACUGGAGUGCAGAAGAGGAGAGUGGAAUUCCACGUGUAGCGGUGAAAUGCGUAGAUAUGUGGAGGAACACCAGUGGCGAAGGCGACUCUCUGGUCUGUAACUGACGCUGAG